GAUGAACGCUGGCGGCGUGCCUAAUACAUGCAAGUCGAGCGAACAGACGAGGAGCUUGCUCCUCUGACGUUAGCGGCGGACGGGUGAGUAACACGUGGAUAACCUACCUAUAAGACUGGGAUAACUUCGGGAAACCGGAGCUAAUACCGGAUAAUAUAUUGAACCGCGUGGUUCAAUAGUGAAAGACGGUUUUACUGUCACUUAUAGAUGGAUCCGCGCCUCAGUAGCUAGUUGGUAAGGUAACGGCUUACCAAGGCGACGAUGCGUAGCCGACCUGAGAGGGUGAUCGGCCACACUGGAACUGAGACACGGUCCAGACUCCUACGGGAGGCAGCAGUAGGGAAUCUUCCGCAAUGGGCGAAAGCCUGACGGAGCAACGCCGCGUGAGUGAUGAAGGUCUUCGGAUCGUAAAACUCUGUUAUUAGGGAAGAACAAAUGUGUAAGUAACUAUGCACGUCUUGACGGUACCUAAUCAGAAAGCCACGGCUAACUACGUG
rnacentral:rRNA from 1 species